rnacentral:rRNA from 1 species
GGCCAGACUCCUACGGGAGGCAGCAGUGGGGAAUAUUGCACAAUGGGGGGAACCCUGAUGCAGCGACGCCGCGUGGGUGAAGAAGCGCCUCGGCGCGUAAAGCCCUGUCAGCAGGGAAGAAAAUGACGGUACCUGAAGAAGAAGCCCCGGCUAACUACGUGCCAGCAGCCGCGGUAAUACGUAGGGGGCAAGCGUUAUCCGGAUUUACUGGGUGUAAAGGGGGCGCAGACGGCGAUGCAAGCCAGGAGUGAAAGCCCGGGGCCCAACCCCGGGACUGCUCUUGGAACUGCGUGGCUGGAGUGCAGGAGGGGCAGGCGGAAUUCCUGGUGUAGCGGUGAAAUGCGUAGAUAUCAGGAGGAACACCGGUGGCGAAGGCGGCCUGCUGGACUGCAACUGACGUUGAGGCCCGAAAGCGUGGGGAGCAAACAGGAUUAGAUACCCCUGUAG